GGUCAGGGGCGUUGAAUGGAGGGGCGAAGGGGUUAUAUGCGGGUCGUUGUGCAGUGUCCGUGAAGACGUCAUCCUUAAACUUGUCUCUUGAAUGUUUCGUAGUUCCGUCACAAGCCAAGCUGCCAGACAUAACUCUCCACUCGCAUGCUGAAGAUCAGAAUGGAAAUCCACAACUUGAUAUCUCAUCCCAAAGCACAGCAUUAUGAAGGCGUAUGCGAGCAUGGAGGAAAAUCUCCGCAGAUGUAGACCUUUGGACGAUGGAAUUUCUACACGUAAAAGAACAGAUGGCGGCCAGAAGACGCGACUUUCGAUAAACAAUCGAUAGGAAGACAAAUCGCAGAUCUUGACUUCUGUGACUAGGUUCAAGACUGAGACAUCUCUAAAAGUUUUUGGAAAGAGAUUGACAUAAUGUUCCUUGAAUAUUGGCUCCUACUAUGGAUUUUACAAGCCAACGAGGAAAGUAAUUUUCUCCAGAAAAAUAAAUACGUUGUUACUUAUGUUCAGACCAUUACAAAAAAGAUUUUGGACAAGGGAAUUAAGCCCCAGGAUAAAUAUACUAUGAAAGAGUACUUUGUUUUGUGGAUAGGAAAUGAAGGAGGGCACAUAACAAGUUAAAUUUUUAUCUUUGCAAGCUUCUGUCCUGAUCUAGGAUUUAAGUAUGUGAUGAAUAAGAUAUUCAAUAUACUGAUCCGUUUAAUCAUUCACGGUGACCCCAUCCACCCAGCUACAUUAGGUUAAGUCGGGUGAUGCAGUUCCAGUUUUAAAUAAGUCUUACUCAAAACUGAAGUUGAAUGGGCCAAUUUUAGUUGUACGUACG